CUACGGGGUGCUGCAGUGGGGAAUUUUGUGCAAUGGGCGAAAGCCUGACACAGCGACGCCGCGUGGAGGAUGAAGGUUUUCGGAUCGUAAACUCCUGUUAAAUGGGAAGAAAGAUUCACGGUUAAUACCCGUGGAAGAUGACGGUACUAUUAGAGAAAGUUCCGGCUAACUUCGUGCCAGCAGCCGCGGUAAUACGAGGGGAACAAGCGUUAUUCGGAGUUACUGGGCGUAAAGCGCGCGUAGGCGGCUUUUUAAGUCGAUUGUUAAAUACCAUGGCCUAACUGUGGAAAUGCGAUCGAUACUGGAUGGCUAGAGAUUGGAAGAGAGGGAUGGAAUUCUCGGAGUAGCGGUAAAAUGCGUAGAUCUCGAGAGGAACACCGAUGGCGAAAGCAGUCCCUUGGUCCAACACUGACGCUAAAGCGCGAAAGCGUGGGUAGCAAACAGGAUUAGAUACCCCGGUAGUC
rnacentral:rRNA from 1 species